rnacentral:rRNA from 1 species
UAUGAUUCCAUGCUUCCAAGAAAAGCAUCUAGAGAGAGAAGUAGUGCCCGUACCGCAAACCGACACAGGUAGAUGAGGAGAGAAUCCUAAGGCCGGCGGAAGAAUUGCAGUUAAGGAACUAGGCAAAUUGACCCCGUAAGUUAGCGAGAAGGGGUGCCUGCGAGAGCAGGCCGCAGAGAAUAGGCCCAAGCAACUGUUUAGCAAAAACACAGGUCUCUGCUAAAGCGCAAGCUGAUGUAUAGGGGCUGACGCCUGCCCGGUGCUGGAAGGUUAAGGGGAACACUUAGCGCAAGCGAAGGUGUGAACUUAAGCCCCAGUAAACGGCGGCCGUAACUAUAACGGUCCUAAGGUAGCGAAAUUCCUUGUCAGGUAAGUUCUGACCCGCACGAAUGGCGUAAUGACUUGGGCACUGUCUCAACUGCAAAUCCGGCGAAGUUGUAGUGCGAGUGAAGAUGCUCGCUACCCGCGAUUGGACGGAAAGACCCCGUAGAGCUUUACUGUAGCUUAGCAUUGAAUACCGGUAUUGUCUGUACAGGAUAGGUGGGAGACUGGGAAACUAGGGCGUCAGCCUUAGUGGAGUCGUCCUUGGGAUACCACCCUGACAGUACUGGGGUUCUAACAGGACGCCAUGAAUCUGGUGACUGGACAUUGUUAGGUGGGCAGUUUGACUGGGGCGGUCGCCUCCUAAAAAGUAACGGAGGCGCCCAAAGGUUCCCUCAGAACGGUCGGAAAUCGUUCGUAGAGUGCAAAGGCAGAAGGGAGCCUGACUGCGAGACCUACAAGUCGAGCGGGGACGAAAGUCGGGCUUAGUGAUCCGGUGGUACCUCGUGGGAGGGCCAUCGCUCAACGGAUAAAAGCUACCUCGCGGAUAACAGGCUGAUCUCCCCCAAGAGUCCACAUCGACGGGGAGGUUUGGCACCUCGAUGUCGGCUCGUCGCAUCCUGGGGGCUGUAGUAGGUCCCAAGGGUUGGGCUGUUCGCCCAUUAAAGCGGCACGCGAGCUGGGUUCAGAACGUCGUGAGACAGUUCGGUCCCUAUCCGUCGCGGGCGUAGGAAAUUUGAGAGGAGCUGUCCUUAGUACGAGAGGACCGGGAUGGACUGACCUCUGGUGCACCAGUUGUUCUGCCAAGAGCAUGGCUGGGUAGCUAAGUCGGGAAGGGAUAAACGCUGAAAGCAUCUAAGCGUGAAGCCUCCCUCAAGAUGAGAUUUCCCAUAGCAUAAGCUAGUAAGACCCCUUGAAGAACACGAGGUUGAUAGGUCAGAGGUGUAAGUGUGGUAACAUAUUUAGCUGACUGAUACUAAUAGGUCGAGGGCUUGAUC